GUGCUUGCUUCAGCAGCACAUAUACUAAAAUUGGAACGAUAAAGAGAUUAGCACGGCCCCUGCGCAAGGAUGAAAUUAGUCAGUGGCUAGAGAAAACAACACAUACAU
ensembl:snRNA U6 U6 spliceosomal RNA